AAGAGGACCAAGCCAUGGGCAGCAAACCAGUACGCAGCAUUCUUCUACUGCCUCUGCUUCAGUCUCUGCCUCCAGGUUCCUAGCCUGACUUCCCUUCCUGGCGGACUGCAACCAGAAAGCUGAAAUCAACCCUUUCCUCCCCAAGAUGCUUUUGGUUAUAGUGUUCACACCAGCACCAGAAGGCAAACUAGACCAGGAGGGAAAUGACUCCCCGUCUUGAGAUUGGAUUUUUCUGUUUGUUUGCUUUGUUUGGUUGUUGUUCCUUGGAAUCAGAUGCUGAGGAAGAAUUCCUAGGACAGUGAGUUAGUGUGUUAGCAUGCUAGCAGUUGUUCACAGGAAAGAACGGGUGACAAGUGAGCCAAGAAACCAGCGCAAGCCAAGCAAGGCCAGCCAGGAGCCUGGCGAUCAACCUGAUGGAAGGCCACAGGAACUUUGCCUUGCAGCACCUGCCCAGUGUGUUUUUCCAGGAAUGGCGCUCUGGCUGCUUAGAAAGGGGAGCAGCUCCAGCCGCUAUCACCCCCUUGCAAGCACAGGCGGCAGCCACAGUGCAAAGUCUCCCGGCUCAAGCUUGACAACUGCGCACCGCCCCGCCCCCCUCCAGCCCCGCCCCGCCCCGCCCCGCCCCACCUCGCCCUAGUCCUGUGGGCGGUGGAAUUGGCGGUGAACUUGGUAGAGCAGGACGCUGGAGGAGCGCUCUCAGGACAGUGGCUUUGGCUUUGGUGAAUCCACCCCGCAGCAGGGACCAAGCUCCAGCUCAAGACAACACACCACAGAGGAGCGCAGCGAUCGCACACCUUGGGCAGGAAACUGCUGAACUGCUGUCCAGCCCACUUUCCCCCUUUCUGGCCUGUCAACAGAACCCCAGUUAUUAGCAGAAUACACUGUAAUCCGCAAUAAAGUAUUUCCCAGUUGUCCCAGUGCCCAAAAUAGCUGGGAGAGAAGUUUUUGGCCAGUGAAAUAUAACUGGGAAGCUUUGUGUGUGACUCUCAAAAUGAUUCUAAGGCUAAUAGAUAUGUUCCAUUGCCCCUUCCAACCUCCUGCCUCGUCCCAGCAUCCCACAAUGAUGUCUAUAGUAGGUUAGAAUUUAGGGUCGAUUCUUGGCUCCAUCUUCUAACAGAAUUAGAAAAUCCACCUGUAAGGACUGUCUCCUGUUACUGUGACGAAACAGCCAAGCUCACUAAUAACCAAAUUUAAAGAUCUUUUUUAUGAUUUUAAAUGAUGUGUCCUAGAGUGUGGGUCUAGAGUGCCGGUGGCUGUGUAUACAUACGUGUAGGUGGUGCCCACAGAGUUCAGCAGAGGCUUGUCCGAUCCCCAGUAUUUGUGAGUCAUGGCAUGUGCUGUUGGGAAUGCAAUUCAAGUCCUCUACAAGAGAAGUAAGCACUCUUGACCACUAAGCCAUUUCUCUAGCUCCCUGAGUUAGCCACUUUAAAUGGAGGAAAUGUUAGGCGUGUAUCAGAGUCUCAGAGGUUUCAGUUCAUGCUUGCUUUGGCCCUGGUGGUGGCACAGUAUGCCAUGACAAGAACACAAGUGGACCUAUUUAUAUCAUGAUUGCCAGGAAGCAAAGAUAAGAAGGUAUGGGGCCCUGGUAUCCCUUCAAGGGUGUGAUGCCCAUGACUUAACUUCCUACUAAUUGCCACGCCCACAUGGUCCACCAUCCCCUAAUAGCACCACAGACUAUGAACAAGCCUUCAACUCCUAGACUUCUGAGGGAAAUCCCAGAUCCAAAUCAUAACACCAUUAUCCCUUUAAAUUAUAGCAUUUCUCUGCAUCUUUUUUUUUUUCCCAUGACAAGGUUUCUCUGUAGCUUUGGUGCCUGUCCUGGAACUAGCUCUUGUAGACCAGGCUGGCCUCGAACUCCCAGAGAUCCGCCUGCUUCUGCCUCGCGAGUGCUGGGAUUAAAGGCGUGCGCCACCACCGCCCGGCUUCUGCAUCUUGUCUUUAAUUGUGGCCAUCUUACUUACAUGGCCAAUGGGACUCUACUGGAUAUGCACCCUCCUGGAUUAACUCCUGCCACUUGUUGAGCAGCUACUGCCCAAGGCGAACAUACAGAAACAUGACUCAGACCUCAGUAUCAGCUGGCAGCUAACAUUUGACCUGAUGGGGCCACCACAUAGGACUGUAGACCCAGAAGUUGACACCGAUAAAUAAAUGCCCAUAGUUACAAGCAACUAAGUUCUGAGCUACUUUGUCCCUCAAGGUGAUUUUGGGAAAAGCUAGCUUGUUUGAUGACUGGCAAAGUCUGGAGCUUCAGCAGCCUUCUUGGAUUAUAUGGUAGCCUUAAAGUUUUAAGACAAGACCAAAAACUUACAGAGCAAUAAAACAGAGGCCUGGGUUCUUUGUGAUAUCAUGAAGUUAUGUCAAUUUUAAAUUUCCCUUUAAAGAGAGAGGACACCCUUGUAUAUUUGAAUCACUACAGUCUUAUUACCUGAGAAGUGGCAUUUGUGUUCAUUUUUUAAUAAAGAAAGGUGACAUUGAGUACAGACAUAGAUGG